rnacentral:rRNA from 1 species
AUUGAACGCUGGCGGCAGGCUUAACACAUGCAAGUCGAGCGGUAACAGAGAGAGGCUUGCUUCUCUGCUGACGAGCGGCGGACGGGUGAGUAAUGCCUAGGAAUCUGCCUAGUAGUGGGGGAUAACUUGCCGAAAGGUAAGCUAAUACCGCAUACGUCCUACGGGAGAAAGGAGGGGACCUUCGGGCCUUUCGCUAUUAGAUGAGCCUAGGUCGGAUUAGUUAGUUGGUGAGGUAAUGGCUCACCAAGACCGCGAUCCGUAACUGGUCUGAGAGGAUGAUCAGUCACACUGGAACUGAGACACGGUCCAGACUCCUACGGGAGGCAGCAGUGGGAAUAUUGGACAAUGGGGGGAACCCUGAUCCAGCCAUGCCGCGUGUGUGAAGAAGGUCUUAGGAUUGUAAAGCACUUUAAGUUGGGAGGAAGAGCAGUUAACUAAUAUUUGACUGUUUUGACGUUACCGACAGAAUAAGCACCGGCUAACUUCGUGCCAGCAGCCGCAGUAA